rnacentral:rRNA from 1 species
UCCGAUUGAUCCCGUCGGACCUUACUGCUAUCGAGAUGGGACUAACCCAGGCCAGUCGAACGACCCGGACUAUGGCGGGAAGUGGCGCACUGCUCAGUAACACGUAGCUAACCUAACCUCAAGACGGAAAUAACCCCGGGAAACUGGGGUCAAUGUCCGAUAGAUGUGAAUUCCUGGAAUGGUGUCACAUCCAAACGUCAACACACCAUGUUGUGCGAACGCUUGAGGAUGGGGCUGCGGCCGAUCAGGCUGUUGGUGGGGUAAUGGCCCACCAAACCUUUGACCGGUAUGGGCCAUGAGAGUGGUAGCCCAGAGAUGGACACCGAGACAAGGGUCCAGGCCCUACGGGGCGCAGCCGGUACGAAACCUCCACAAUGCACGCAAGUGCGAUGGGGUUAUCUCGAGUGCUAUCUGAAAAAGGUAGCUUUUCCAUGGUCUAAAUAGCCGUGGGAAUAAGGGGGGGGCAAGACUGGUGUCAGCCGCCGCGGUAACACCAGCCCCCCGAGUGGUAGGGAUGUUUAUUUGGCCUAAAGCGUCCGUAGCCGGCUAAGUAAAUUUCUCGUUAAAUCCAACGUCCUAAGCGUCGGGCUGCGAGAAAGACUGCUUAGCUAGAGGGUGGGAGAGGUCAGCGGUAUUCCUGGGGUAGGGGCGAAAUCCAUUGAACCCAGGAGGACCACCAGUGGCGAAGGCUGCUGACUAGAACACGCCUGACGGUGAGGGACGAAAGCUGGGGUAGCGAAUCGGAUUAGAUACCCGAGUAGUCCCAGCCGUAAACGAUGCAGACUAGGUGUUGGGUUGGCCACGCGCCGACUCAGUGCCACAGGGAAGCCAUUAAGUCUGCCGCCUGGGAAGUACGGCCGCAAGGCUGAAACUUAAAGGAAUUGGCGGGGGAGCACCACCAGGCGUGAAGCCUGCGGUUUAAUUGGAGUCAACGCCGGGAACCUUACCGGGAGCGACAGCAGAGUGAAGGCCAGGCUAAAGGUCUUGCCAGACGAGCUGAGAGGAGGUGCAUGGCCGUCGCCAGUUCGUGCCGUGAGGUGUCCUCUUAAGUGAGGUAACGAACGAACCCGCGCCGCAUGUUGCUAACAAGUCCUAAAGGGAUGUUGAGCACUCUUGCGGGACCGCAGCCGACAAGGCUGAGGAAGGUGCGGGCAACGGCAGGUCAGUAUGCCCCGAAUCUCCCGGGCCACACGCGGGCUGCAAUGGUAGAGACAGAGGGCUGCAACCCCGAAAGGGGAAGCCAAUCCCUAAACUCUACCUCAGUUGGGAUUGAGGGCUGCAACCC